rnacentral:rRNA from 1 species
GACGAACCGUGCGAACGUUGUUCGGAAUCACUGGGCUUAAAGGGCGCGUAGGCGGCCUAACAAGUCACUUGUGAAAUCUCCGGGCUUAACUCGGAAUGGCCAAGUGAAACUGUCAGGCUAGAGUGCAGAAGGGGCAAUCGGAAUUCUUGGUGUAGCGGUGAAAUGCGUAGAUAUCAAGAGGAACACCUGAGGUGAAGACGGGUUGCUGGGCUGACACUGACGCUGAGGCGCGAAAGCCAAGGGAGCAAACAGG